rnacentral:snRNA from 1 species
GCACCUGCCUGGAAAGUGUGACAUCUGUCACCCAUCGAUCACCAGGGCUGGCUAGGCGAGUGUCCCCUUCCUCCCUCAGUGCUCUGUGUGCAUCCCCCCAAAGCUGCGCACUCAGUGGAAGAGGACGACCACCCCUGAUAGAGGAGGAUCGCUCCUCAUCAAGGGUAUGCUAGUAGCUACGCUCCCCUGCUAGAACCUCCAAACAAGUUCUCAAAAAGUGAAAUUGUAAAAAUAGCGAAUUCUGUAUCUUGUUUGGUGUGUGAAAAAUGCUCCCUGUAC